UGAUCUCAGUUCGGACUGUAGGCUGCAACUCGCCUACACGAAGUUGGAAUUGCUAGUAAUCGUGGAUCAGCAUGCCACGGUGAAUACGUUCCCGGGUCUUGUACACACCGCCCGUCACACCAUGGGAGCUGGUAACACCCGAAGUCAGUAGUCUAACCGCAAGGAGGACGCUGCCGAAGGUGGGAUUAGCGACUGGGGUGAAGUCGUAACAAGGUAUC
rnacentral:rRNA from 1 species